GACGAACGCUGGCGGCGUGCCUAAUACAUGCAAGUCGAGCGCUGAAGCUUGGUACUUGUACCAACUUGAUGAGCAGCGAACGGGUGAGUAACGCGUGGGGAAUCUGCCUGUGAGCGGGGGACAACAUUGGGAAACGAAUGCUAAUACCGCAUAAAAACUUGAAACACAAGUUUUAAGUUUGAAAGAUGCAAUUGCAUCACUCAAAGAUGAUCUCGCGUCGUAUUAGCUAGUUGGUGAGGUAAAGGCUCACCAAGGCGAUGAUACAUAGCCGACCUGAGAGGGUGGUCGGCCAAAUUGGGAAUGGGACCAGGCACAAAAUCACUCGGGGAGCAGCAGGAGGGCAUCUUGGGGCAUGGAGGGAAAUCUGACCGAAAAACGCCGAGGGAGUGAAGAAGGGUUUCGGAUCGUAAAAAUCGGUUGGUAGGGAAGAAAGUUGGUGAGAGUGGAAAGAUCAUCAAGUGACGGUAACUACUCAGAAAGGGACGGCUAACUACGUG
rnacentral:rRNA from 1 species